rnacentral:rRNA from 1 species
UACAGAGGGUGCAAGCGUUAAUCGGAAUUACUGGGCGUAAAGCGUGCGCAGGCGGUUCGUUGUGUCGGUGGUGAAAUCCCCGGGCUUAACCUGGGAAUGGCCAUGGAAACUGGCGAACUGGAGUGUGGCAGAGGGGGGUGGAAUUCCGCGUGUAGCAGUGAAAUGCGUAGAUAUCGAGAGGAACACCGGUGGCGAAGGCGGCCUUCUGGACAGUGACUGACGCUGAGACGCGAAAGCGUGGGGAGCAAACAGG